rnacentral:miRNA from 1 species
UUAAGAAGGACACACUUGGGGCUGG